AUACGGAGGGUGCAAGCGUUGUUCGGAAUCACUGGGCGUAAAGGGCGCGCAGGCGGUUUGGUAAGUCAGAUGUGAAAGCCCACGGCUCAACCGUGGAAGUGCAUUUGAAACUGUCAGACUUGAGUACUAGAGGGGAAAGUGGAAUUCCCGGUGUAGAGGUGAAAUUCGUAGAUAUCAGGAGGAAUACCGGUGGCGAAGGCGACUUUCUGGCUAGAUACUGACGCUGAGGCGCGAAAGCCUGGGGAGCAAACAGGAUUAGAAACCCUAGUAGUCC
rnacentral:rRNA from 1 species